GGGGNCCGCGNCCGAUCAGGGUUGUUGGUGAGGUAAUGGNCCACCCANGCCUUUUACCGGUGCGGGCCGUGGGAGCGGGAGCCNGGAGAUGGGCACUGAGACAAGGGCCCAGGCCCUACGGGGCGCAGCAGUCGCGAAAACUUUGCAAUAAGCGAGAGCUUGACAGGGCUAUCCCGAGUGCCAUCCGCUGAGGAUGGCUUUUCUCUGCUGUUAAAAGGCGGGGGAAUAAGGAGAGGGCAAGUCUGGUGUCAGCCGCCGCGGUAAUACCAGCUCUCCGAGUGGUGGGGAUGAUUAUUGGGCCUAAAGCGUCCGUAGCCUGCCUUCCAAGUCUCUCGUUAAAUCCGGCGAUUCAAUCGUUGGACUGCGGGAGAUACUGUCAGGCUAGGGGGCGGGAGAAGCCGACGGUAUUUCCGGGGUAGGGGUAAAAUCCUAUAAUCCCGGGAAGACCACCAGUGGCGUAGGCGGUCGGCUAGCACGCGCUCGACGGUGAGGGACGAAAGCUGGGGGAGCGAACCGGAUUAGAUACCCGGGUAGUCCCAGCUGUAAACGAUGCAGGCUAGGUGUUGGAGCGGCUACGAGCCGCUUCAGUGCCGCAGGGAAGCCAUUAAGCCUGCCGCCUGGGGAGUACGGCCGCAAGGCUGAAACUUAAAGGAAUUGGCGGGGGAGCAC
rnacentral:rRNA from 1 species